CUGGUAAGUCAGAGGUGAAAGUCGGUUGCUUAACGAUCGAAUUGCCUUUGAAACUGUCAGACUUGAGUAUGGAUNCGGUAGGCGGAAUGUGUAGUGUANCGGUGAAAUGCAUAGAUAUUACACAGAACACCGAUUGCGAAAGCAGCUUACCAAACCAGCACUGACGCUGAAGCACGAAAGCGUGGGUAGCGAACAGGAUUAGAUACCCUGGUAGUCCACGCAGUAAACGAUGCUCACUCGCUGUUGGCAAUAGAUCGUCAGCGGCUAAGGGAAACCGAUAAGUGAGCCACCUGGGGAGUACGAUCGCAAGAUUGAAACUCAAAGGAAUUGACGGGGGCCCGCACAAGCGGUGGAACAUGUGGUUUAAUUCGAUGAUACGCGAGGAACCUUACCUGGGCUUAAAUGUACGAUGCAUAAGUGUGAAAGCACUUUUUCCUUCGGGACUUUGUACAAGGUGCUGCAUGGUUGUCGUCAGCUCGUGCCGUGAGGUGUCGGGUUAAGUCCCAUAACGAGCGCAACCCCUAUUGUUAGUUACCAGCGCGUAAAGGCGGGGACUCUAGCGAAACUGCCGGUGUAAACCGCGAGGAAGGUGGGGAUGACGUCAAAUCAGCACGGCCCUUAUGUCCAGGGCUACACACGUGUUACAAUGGCCGGUACAGCGGGCAGCGAGGCAGCGAUGCCGAGCGAAUCUCGAAAGCCGGUCCCAGUUCGGAUUGGAGUCUGCAACCCGACUCCAUGAAGGUGGAAUCGCUAGUAAUCGCGCAUCAGCCAUGGCGCGGUGAUACGUUCCCGGGCCUUGUACACACCGCCCGUCAAGCCAUGGAAGUCUGGGGUGCCUGAAGGCCGUAACCGCGAGGAGCGG
rnacentral:rRNA from 1 species